ensembl:lncRNA
GCUUGUGACUUAGGUGAACGUAAGGGCGUAGCUACAAUUCAACAGCUUUGCUUUUACACUCAGCUUUCCCCUUACCAUGACAGACCAGUACAGCAUCUGCAUCACUGUAGAUGCUUCUCGAACCUGUCGAUCCAAUCUCUUGGUCCACUCCCCCCUAAAUCAUGAACAAGACCCCAAGAUCUGUAACUGCUCUACCAAGGGUAGUAACUCGUUCCCAUCCCAGAGAGCCCUUUUCAGUCUGAGGACCAUGGUCUUGAAUUUUGAAACACCAUUUCUUAUCCCAGUGUGAGUUGGAGAAUCUCAAGAUCCUGUGACCACCACACCAGACCUCUUGGCUGCUCCUAGAAAUUUUGUCCAUGGAAAUUGUGGACGAAAUCGUGACAAACGACAGCAGUCCCUUUGUUCAACAGUCACAAAGAACGAGUCUGACUUAUAGCCAACAAUGUGAACUGGGCUCUGGUAAUGGUUGUACUGGUUAGGCCACAGCAAUGGGCCUGAUACCAUAUACUCCCAAAGCAUCUCCAACAGAACACACGGUUGAAUGCCUUCUUCAAGUUCCCAGAACUCAUGUAGACUGUUUGGGAACUCCCAUGCAUCCUCAAACAUCCUUGAGAAAAUAAAGAGCUGAUCCAUGAUCAGGAUGAAAACCACCUCAUGAAUCUAAGGUUCCACUAACAGGCAGACGAAGUACCCAGGCUGAGGCUGAGAAGCAUGAGCAUCCUAAAGUUGGACCACACUUUGUGGACCCAGUCCUUGAAGAGGGGAACCACCACCACCCCAGUCUCCCAGUCCAGAGGCACUGUCUCUGACUGCAACACAAUGUUGCAGAGGUGUGUCAGCUAUGACAGCACCACAGCAGAGCCUGAGCCUUGACAAACUACCUCAGUGACCUUACUCCCAGUCCUCUUAUACUACAAGAAGCCAUGUCAGUGGGAUUGAGGAGAUUCUUUGAUGUGUUAGUUCAACUGUCCUCUGUUGAGGUCAGCAUCCCCACUAUAGUCCCAUCCCCAUUAUAUACAGUGUGGACGGAAACUGCUUUCCCCUGACAGUUUGCCAGGCCAACCGAAAGGCUUCUUCCAUGGCCUCUCUUCUCCCAUACUGAGUUUUUGCCUUGGCUACUGUCAGAGCUGCACUCUGGUUAGCCUGCUGGUACAGCUGUUCCAUGUACUCAAAACCAGUUUCAGUAACCAGGGAUCAGACCCCCACAUCCUUCCUCUUCUGUCUAACCUAUGAUUGUUGUGUUGUAGAAUGCACAAUCAGACAGGUUUUACAUCAUCUGUUUGAAUGUAGGAAAAGCUAGAGGAGCUCUGGAAACCUUUAUAUCUCUGAUAAAUGCAGUUCUUUUCUGGUGAUAUGUUUAUUGUUUCGUGUGAUCUUUCCUAAUAUGACUGGUUUGCUUUGCUUUGUAUCUGAAUGCACCAUACAAACACGUGAUUACAGGUGUUGGUACAGUUAAGUUUUGCUCAUGCUACAGGAAUGUAAUUGUUAAGUGUUUAUUGAUUUCUUUGUUGAAUGAUUUUCAACAAUGAGAUUAAUCCAUAUACAUUUGAAAAAAAGUAUAGAACAUGAGAAUUAUUUCUAGAACUAUCCUGCACUUUAUUUCUUAAACCCACCUGAUGCACACUGGUAGUGAAGGACACUGGGGGGUGAAAACCCUGAUUUAUGGGGUUCUUCCCAUUUCUGACACGGUCUUAUUUUGCGAUACACUUCAAAUGAUGAGUCCUCACAAGCACAAACAUGUCAUGUUAGUGUAAUCAUUUUUAUUUUUCUCCACUUGAAUUGUUUGUCUCUUGUUGAUUAUGUUGACAUUGAAUUGAACCUCUCAAAGAUUCGUUUUUUUAUAUGUGGUCACUGUUACAAGUUUACCUGACUCAUUUGGAAGAAACCCCUUGUGUAUUUCUCUAUAUAUCAAUGUCCUAUGGGAAGUUCCUGAUUGUUUGGACGUCCAUAUGUAAGAUAUUGUCUCUACCUAGGCUGCACUUACCCCUUCCUCCCUGCUCUCACCUGCUCCAUAACAUCUACUAUACUAUACUAUAUACAAAUGGAAAACUCACGAUUUUAAGGGCAGAGCCUGAUAUCUUCAUCUUGAUAUCAUCUUGUUGUCAAACCAACCUAAAAUGUGAAAUAUAGUCAUUUAAUGACACACGGGUGACAAAUUAAAGGAAAAAUUGACACCUGUAAUGUGGGGAUUAUCGGGCAUAAGGGAAGCCUCACAUGUACAACCUGUUGCUCUUAAACCCUUUUUCAAUCCUAAGUGAAUCAGACACUGCUGUCAUUGGAUAGUCCAGACAGACGGCUUCACUGUGCAUGAAAUCAGACAGAAUUUACACAUGGAUGAAUAUAAAUGGAUUAGUGUGUUUCAGAAAUUUGCCAUCCUGCUAAUAGUAGUCUAUAUGUGAAGUGUACAUGUGUGGUGUGGUUGUUACGGUUAUAUUCAAGUCAAUUCAUGAACAAUUACAUUGAAAUGUGCAUUUGCUAUAAUUAGCACCAAAUUGUGAACAAAUUUCAGUAAGAGAUCUUCUGUAAACAGAGCCACGUCAUAAUCUGCUCACAGACUUUGUUGUUGCGUUAGACUGUUUGGACUGUGGAAGUUAUAUCAGUAUUCAACCAUGCUUUUGGGGUAUUUACAUAUAACAUAGUGAAGACACAAGGAGUCAGCUGGGGCCCCGGAGAAAACAGCAAACAUAAAAUAAGAGUGAAUAAAGCUAAACUACUGGCAAAAAGAUUAUGGAUACAAAUGCUCUUUUAUUCACCGGGUAGGCAAAAACUGUAACUCAUCAGUAAAGCUGCUUUUGUGUAUGUGUGUAUGUGACAAUCUCUACAUGCAACAAUAGAAAUACGUGGUCUGUAGUAGAAAUAGAAAAUAAAAAAACAUCAGAGAAAUAGGAUGGACUGCUUCCAUCAAGCCAUAGUCCACCAGAUGAAUACAAAGUAGCUCUGAGUGAUUCAAUUCAAUUUUAUUUAUAUAGCGCCAAAUCACAACAAAAGUCGCCUCAAGAUACAGAUAAAUACAGAGAAAAACCCAACAAUCAUAUGACCCCCUAUGAGCAAGCACUUUGGCGACAGUGGGAAGGAAAAACUCCCUUUUAACAGGAAGAAACCUCCGGCAGAACCAGGCUCAGGGAGGGGCGGGGCCAUCUGCUGCGACCGGUUGGGGUGAGAGAAGGAAGACAGGAUAAAGACAUGCUGUGGAAGAGAGACAGAGGUUAAUAACAGAUAUGAUUCAAUGCAGAGAGGUCUGUUAAUACAUAGUGAGUGAGAAAGGUGACUGGAAAGGAAAAACUCAGUGCAUCAUGGGAAUCCCCCGGCAGCCUACGUCUAUUGCAGCAUAACUAAGGGAGGAUUCAGGGUCACCUGGUCCAGCCCUAACUAUAUGCUUUAGCAAAAAGGAAAGUUUGAAGCCUAAUCUUGAAAGUAGAGAUAGUGUCUGUCUCCUGAAUCCAAACUGGAAGCUGGUUCCACAGAAGAGGGGCCUGAAAACUGAAGGCUCUGCCUCCC